rnacentral:sRNA from 1 species
GCUGGAUGCAGUGGUGCAUGUCUGUAAUCCCAGCAGCUUGGGAGGCUGAGACAGGAGGAUCAUAAGUUUGAGGCCAGCCUCAGUAACUUUAGCAAGGCCCUAAGCAACUUAGUGAGACCCUGUCUUAA